AACCUUAUGGACCUGCGGGCGUAUACCUGCGGAAGGAUCAUUAAAAAGAGUGUGUACCCCCCUGUAAAAUGGGUGGGUUACCUCCCGUCCUUUGUUGACCUCUUAGGAGGUUAUUUUGAACUUUUCUGCUUCGGUGGGGUUAAACCUACCGGAACACCCUCAAAUUCUGAUCAUUUAAAAAUUGUUCAGUCCGAUUUUUGUUAAUAAAAACAAAAAACUUUCAGCAACGGAUCUCAGAUC
rnacentral:misc_RNA from 1 species